rnacentral:lncRNA from 1 species
UUUCGUUAGUAUAUUCUGUGUAUAAACGUAAACGUGCUUCAUCCAAACCCAAACUAUUUUAAUAAUUAAAACACUGAGAUAACGUAAAGUAUCUAUUUUAAGGGGAGUGAAUUUAAUGUUCUAAAACCAUGAGACCUCGAAAAAAAAAUAGGUUAUACUAAAAAAUAUUUUAAAAUUCAACCAAAGAAAAGGAGCCAAAAUCUUAUUAAGUCAAUGUUACGCAAAUAUGACUCAAUAUUGUACAUUAAACUGGAUUCACACCAAAGCGAUUCUUUAUUAUCCUCUGUACAUCAUCAAAGUAGUACUAUCUCUGGUAGUAUCAUUGAAGAUUUCUGUUCUAAUAAGUGUAGUUCCAGUGCUGAAAUUUCCUACAAUAUAGUAUUUAUAUAGGUAUUUAUAAUUAUUAGGUUCGAGAAUUAUCUAGACUUGGUGGUUCAUGAGUAGCACAAAGUACAAGGAAAGUGCUUUAUAAGGUUCUUGGAUGGGGCCAAACAGAAGAGAAGUUUGAAAUCAUUGUUAGUGGCCAAAAGCAAUUUUAGACUCCAUGAAAGGUCAAUUUCAAGAGUCAAAAGAAACCGAAAUUAUCAAUAUAAUCAAAAUAUGGCUU